AAGAGUGCAGGGGGAGAGGGAACAGUUAUUUCUCAAGCCAUUAAUACAGUUCUUACACGACUCUGCCUCCUGGCCCACAGUGAUAGACCCACAGUUGGGAGUGGACCACACAGUGGGCCAGCUGUAGAGCCUGAGACUGGGUAAGAGAUGGACAUCUGACCCAAGUAGGGACAGUGCAGUGCGUGCUUGGAAUUGAUGACCUAGGGACCAGAGAGCAGUGCUCAUUGUCUCUUUGUGGCGGGGUUAGCAGCUCUGAAGUCAUUGGGAUGGCAUUUCCCGCCAGGUGGAAGAAGCUGACCUGUAGUUGAAGAACUGAUACCCACACCCAGAGCUGCAGAGAGAGGGUGCAUAACAGCAGCAUGCCAGAUCCAUUUCCAGCUCUUCUGAGGUGCAGCCACACCUUGACCUUCCUGCAGUCCUCUUAGCCUUCCAAAUACAUUUACCUUUGAGUGUAAAUGAAUUUAAGGGAGCUAAUGAACCAUGACAAGAACAAAAGGCCGGCAGCCAAGAGGAGGGGGAAACAGGAGCUGGCAGACCUGACCGGACCGCGGCUCCUAAGCUGUUUGUUUCCCUUCUCAAAGGCGCAAUUCAUUGACAGUGAUGACAACAGAGCUGGCCACCUUGCUGAGUACGCUGGAUGGCACACAGUGACAACAAAUGACACAGAAGCCUCUAUUCUCAAGGACUCGAGGAGUUAAAUAUCUGAUGGAGAAGACAGGACCCAGGCACAAACAGCACAAUCUGUAGGAACAAAUACAAGAAUCACAUACUCCACAGCCCCGUGAAUGAUGGACAUAGAUAGCAAAGGGCUCCCCAGCAGCCCUGGCAGGCACGUAGACAGCCACAGCUAUGCGGGCCCUUAGGUCAGCUCUCUCAGAUGAUCUGAAACCACUUCAGUCUGUCUGAAGCUCUCAUGAACAUUUCCGGUUAAAUAUUGUUUUCAAUAAUUUAUUCUGGAGGAGAUGUUCGUUCCCCUGGGAAUCACUUUGCAGCACAUCCCCUCCAGGGACCAGCUACAGACAUCAGGCGCCAGGAUAGAAGAAUCACUCUGUGUAGACGGUGGACCAGGAAUAAGGUUGCCUCCAAAAAAUAAUAGCUGACAUCCACCCCACCCUCCGCUCUUCAGUCAAGCCAGUCAGGCAAUGAACCUUUUCACACCUGAGGGAUGAUUUGUGCUUUUGUCUGAUUCUGCUGUAUUAAAGGAAACAAGUGUUGAGAAAGGUAAGUUGUAAAAGAAAACUGCGGCCUUUCCCUGAUUCACUGGGAACAGACAUAGAGGA
rnacentral:lncRNA from 1 species